rnacentral:sRNA from 1 species
AAUAACAGAGAAAAAA